GGAAUCUUCCACAAUGGGCGAAAGCCUGAUGGAGCAACGCCGCGUGUGUGAUGAAGGUUUCGGCUCGUAAAACACUGUUGUAAGAGAAGAAUGACAUUGAGAGUAACUGUUCAAUGUGUGACGGUAUCUUACCAGAAAGGAACGGCUAAAUACGUGCCAG
rnacentral:rRNA from 1 species